CAUAUCAAUAAGCGGAGGAGAAGAAACCAACAGGGAUUGCCUUAGUAACGGCGAGUGAAGCGGCAAAAGCUCAAAUUUGAAACCUUCGGGAUUGUAAUUUGUAGAUUUGGAAUUGAGAAAAGCUAACCCAAGUUGCUUGGAACAGCGCGUCGUAGAGGGUGACAACCCCGUAUGGCUAACCGUUUCUCAUGUAUUUCCUCAUCAAAGAGUCGAGUUGUUUGGGAAUGCGGCUCAAAGUGGGUGGUAAACUCCAUCUAAAGCUAAAUAUUGGCGAGAGACCGAUAGCGAACAAGUACUGUGAAGGAAAGAUGAAAAGAACUUUGAAAAGGGAGUGAAAAAGUAUGUGAAAUUGUUGAUAGGGAAGGGAAUGAGCGCAGAGUGGACACGGCUUCAGCGUACCCUCGGGUGCGUGUACUGCCAAGUCCGAGUCAAGCACGGGGAGUGCGGGUGGACAAACGGGAUGAGGGCCUCGGCCAACUACCCACCUACACCCAGCACCUCCCGUGGUCGACAUAAUGCGCCCAUUCCACCCGUCUUGAAACACGGACCAAGGAGUCUAAUGGAUAUGUGAGUGUUUGGAUGCUAAAUCCCAGCGCGCAAUGAAAGUGAAUGAUUCGUUCAGAAUCGACCGAUCUUGACUAUUAAUGACAGAUUUGAGUAAACACAUCCAUUGGGACCCGAAAGAUGGUGAACUAUGCCUGAAUAGGGUAAAGUCAGAGGAAACUCUGAUGGAGGCUCGUAGCGGUUCUGACGUGCAAAUCGAUCGUAGAAUUUGGGUAUAGGGGCGAAAGACUAAUCGAACCAUCUAGUAGCUGGUUCCUGC
rnacentral:rRNA from 1 species